rnacentral:rRNA from 1 species
CGACGAGGUAGAUAGGUUGGAGGUGGAAGUGCAGCAAUGCAUGGAGCUGACCAAUACUAAUCGGUCGAGGGCUUAUCCAAAUA